rnacentral:tRNA from 1 species
GCCGUGGCUCAGUGGCAGAGCAUCUCCUUGGCAAUCAGAAGGUCACGGGUUCAAUCCCCAGCAUCUCCA